CUAAUUUACCUGCAGGUGUAACAGGCAGAGUAAAAUUUACUUGUGCUUGCUGUUCUGUGUUUUUGUGCAGGCAGCACUGUCCUUGUGCUUUGGCCUAUUUCACCUUUACCUGUCUCCAUUCUGGGCACAACAGUGGUCUGUGGAAUACACAGGAGGAGUAUUACAGGCCAUGAUUUGUCGUUGCGGCCUGUAUCGAAGUUCUGCUGCUGAAACACAUAUACAAAGAGUUUCUUCAUGCACUUCAUGUGCACUUGUCCUGGGAGAUUGUGUGAGUACUGUGUACUUCAAUUUCAUUUGCUGUUUUGGUUUCUCUAGCAACUAGAAGUUGC
rnacentral:lncRNA from 1 species